UACGUAGGGUGCAAGCGUUAAUCGGAAUUACUGGGCGUAAAGCGUGCGCAGGCGGUUCGCCAAGUCAGGUGUGAAAUCCCCGGGCUCAACCUGGGAACUGCAUUUGUGACUGCAUCGCUGGAGUGCGGCAGAGGGGGAUGGAAUUCCGCGUGUAGCAGUGAAAUGCGUAGAUAUGCGGAGGAACACCGAUGGCGAAGGCAAUCCCCUGGGCCUGCACUGACGCUCAUGCACGAAAGCGUGGGGAGCAAACAGG
rnacentral:rRNA from 1 species